AAAAAAAAACAAAAAAAGAAGAAAGAAGCGUGCAUCUUACUCACCUCACAAUCUUCUCCCCAUUUUUUUCCUUCUCCAAUCAACGAGCCGCUGGAGCCGCCAGUGACGUCACGAAGCCCCUCUCUGCAGCAGAGAGCGGUAAGGCCUGCAGAGGAGGACCAGACCCGAGGCGCAGCACAUGAACCUCGCUUCAUAUCAAUCUCUUCCUCCUUUACAAGACACCACACUGUCAAAAGUGCCUGAGGAGACGCAAGCACUGUGAGUGAAUGAGUGGGAGGAAGGAGAAGUUGAUGGUGAUGGAACGAUCAACAACUCUUCAUUUAUCUGCAGGCCGAUGGAGGAAGAGCCCCAGCUGAGACGGGGUUAAUAUUUCUCCAUCCUAAAAGUUUUGCAGGGACUUUGCGAUUUGUCACCCCAGUAGUAAGGCCUGGUGUCAGGAAUACAGUUAAUGGUUAGACGCAUGCCUCCCUCCACACGCCGACAAAGGAAGGUCCGCCUCAGCCAGGAAGCGCUGUGGAGGAACAGGGAUCCUGUCACUAUCUGUCUCCUCAAAAAGAUGGCAGUUCCUGACCAGUUAAUGGUUAACAGACAUGUGGACGUGUCAAUCUUCAGGAGUGACAAGGAGCAUAAACGCACAAACCCGCAGACGGUGGGAGCCCAGUGCUGAUGCUGUAAACAUAUCUUGUUAACAGGAAGCAGACCCUAUGCCGUAGCAGCACUGAGUGACAGGAUCACAGAUGACUAACAACAGCAGCACUCACUCCUUUUCUUUUCCCCUCUGCUGUUUUUACCUGAGACUUUUUGCUGCUAAGUCUUUAAAACAUGUUUUGUGGUCAUUAAAAUCAGAGGGAAAGUGACUUAAGAAAAUUAUUUAUUUGGACAUUUGCUGAUGACUGGUCUUAUGCAGCUAUAUGGAACAAAUGGAGCUCUAAGACCACUGAAUCACUUUACAUAUUCACACAGUGAUUGCUUGCAACACAAGACAAGGGGAUUUGGGGACCCAUAGAGAGAGAAACUGUUUUGAUUUUUAAAUGUGCGCUGCUGAUCUGACUCAUCCAUAUGAAAGCCUGCAUUUAAGAGUCACAGGAGAAAGAGAAAAAAAUCAGAAAGAAAGAAUGAAAGCCACAUCUCUUUAGAUUUACAAGACUCUGCAGGUUUGAGAUCAGAGACAGCUCCUGUCUGAUACCACCAGCUCUUCAAGGAGCACAUACUGUAUCUGAUACACCCCUGUGUAACCUCUCCAUGGUUCCUAUACACUCAGACAGGGAGGGACGUUGUUCUCCGCCAGCCCCCACCGCUGGGGAAAGUGACAGUCAAUCACUGGCUAAAAGCUACCUUGCCGGAGAAAUGGUGAGCUGGCUAUUAUGAACAGCUGGAGGGGGUGAGAACUGAGGAAGGGAGGAAGGAGGUUGUGAGAUGCAACAGCUCUGCUAUACUGUUAAAAGACGGAUGUAUGGAGACCUACACAGAAAUCGGAGCGCUUUUCCCUAAAAAUAUUUCCACCUGCUAAUUCAUCUUCCAAUUGUCACUUGUUUAUAAUAUAACAGUUAUAACAGCUCUACUAAUUGCAGGGAGCAAACAAAGGAAAGGGUGUGCCAUUAAAUUUCUAUAUAUAAAAUGAAAUACAUUUACGGUAAUUGUCAUUCCUACAUUUAAAUAAAUGCACUGUACUCUUCUUUGUCUUCAAUCUAUCAAAAUCUAUCUGAAGGAGUAAUUUUAUGACUCUAAGUGGGCCCUAACCGUUACCAUACAGAAAGGGAUGAGAAAUUGAUG